UGUUUGCUGUAAUUUGUCUAGGGUUAUGUGUGUUUGUGAUGUGUUGUUAGUGAGUAUGUUGAAUUUUGUGUUCGAGCUUCCAGAUGUGAAGUAUAUAAAAUGUUAUUUGUAAUUGUUUUAAACUUGAAACGCCUUUGAUAUUUGUUAUUCUCUUGUGUCAUACGAUUAUGUUUCAGGACAUCUACUGAUUAAAAUCAUGAGACCUCAUGCAUACGUGUAUACGCAUAGUUAUUAUAUUUAAAAGUUAUGAUUUUGUAAGAAGGAUAACAAGGUGGAGUCGAGGUCCAGCAAGGGUGCAACACUGAAUGAGCUGGUUGAGCUCAAAGGUUGUUCUUCCAGCCUAUUUUUCGAGUGCAGAAAACAUAAAGAUCUUUAUCUAUGUAUGGCAAAGUGUCCUAGUGGGCCAUCUGUGAAGUUUUUAGUUAAUGCCAUGCAUACAAUGGAAGAAUUGAAGCUUACAGGGAACCAUCUGAAAGGUUCCCGUCCAAUUUUGACAUUUUCAUCAAAUUUUGAUAAAGAUGUCCACUAGAAACUUCUGAAGGAAAUGAUUAUUCAGAUUUUUGGAACUCCUAAGGAGCAUCGACAUUCUAAACCGUACCAUGAUCAUGUAUUUGUUUUCUCUAUUGUUGAUGACCAUAUAUGGUUCCGGA